rnacentral:rRNA from 1 species
GGAUGAACGUUGGCGGUGUGCCUAAUACAUGCAAGUCGAACGGAGUUAGUAGCAAUACUGGCUCAGUGGCGAACGGGUGAGUAACGCGUUGGUGAUCUGCCUUGAAGUGUGGAAUAACGUUUCGAAAGGAACGCUAAUACCGCAUGUGCUCUCGAUUUUCAGAAAGUUGAGAGUAAAGGAUUUAUUCGCUUCAAGAGGAGCCUGCGUCCCAUCAGCUGGUUGGUAGGGUAACGGCCUACCAAGGCUAUGACGGGUAGGGGACCUGAGAGGGUGGCCCCCCACAAUGGAACUGAAACACGGUCCAUACACCUACGGGUGGCAGCAGUAGGGAAUAUUAGAAAUGGACGAAAGUCUGAUCUAGCAACACCGCGUGUGCGAAGAAGGCCUUCGGGUCGUAAAGCACUUUUUGGAAGGAAUAGGAAGGAAUGUACUUCCAGAAUAAGUCUCGGCUAACUACGUGCCAGCAGCCGCGGUAACACGUAGGAGGCAAACGUUAUCCGGAUUUACUGGGCGUAAAGCGCGUGUAGGUGGUUCUGUAAGUAGGGCGUGAAAGCUCCCGGCUCAACUGGGAGAGGCCGUUCUAAACUACAGAACUAGAGGAUGGUAGAGGGAGGUGGAAUUCCAGGUGUAGCGGUGGAAUGCGCAGAUAUCUGGAGGAACACCAGUGGCGAAGGCGGCCUCCUGGACCAUUCCUGACACUCAGACGCGAAAGCUAGGGUAGCAAACGGGAUUAGAGACCCCGGUAGUCCUAGCCCUAAACGAUGUAGACUAGGCGUCGGAAGUUUAAUCACUUUCGGUGUCCAAGCUAACGCGAUAAGUCUACCGCCUGGGGACUACGGCCGCAAGGUUAAAACUCAAGGGAAUUGACGGGUCCCCGCACAAGCAGCGGAGCGUGUGGUUUAAUUCGUUGCUACACGAAGAACCUUACCUGGGUUUGACAUAGCAGUGGUAGGGAAGCGAAAGCGGACCGACCCUUCGGGGAGCUGUUACAGGUGUUGCAUGGCUGUCGUCAGCUCGUGUCGUGAGAUGUUCGGUUAAGUCCGGCAACGAGCGCAACCCACACUUCUAGUUGCCAGCAUUCAGUUGGGCACUCUAGAAGAACUGCCGAUGAUAAGUCGGAGGAAGGUGUGGAUGACGUCAAGUCCUCAUGGCCCUUACGGGUUGGGCUACACACGUGCUACAAUGGCAGUGACAAUGGGUUAAUCCCAAAAAGCUGUCUCAGUUCGGAUUGGGGUCUGCAACUCGACCCCAUGAAGUCGGAAUCGCUAGUAAUCGCGUAACAGCAUGACGCGGUGAAUACGUUCCCGGGCCU